rnacentral:tRNA from 1 species
GACUUAGUAGCUUAAUUGGUAAAGUACUUCCUUGUCAAGGAAGGAGAUGUCGGUCCGAAUCCGACUUGAGUCG